GAUGAAGAACGCAGCGAAAUGCGAUAAGUAAUGUGAAUUGCAGAAUUCAGUGAAUCAUCGAAUCUUUGAACGCAGCUUGCGCUCUCUGGUAUUCCGGAGAGCAUGCCUGUUUCAGUGUCAUGAAAUCUCAACCACUAGGGUUUCCUAAUGGAUUGGAUUUGGGCGUCUGCGAUUUCUGAUCGCUCGCCUUAAAAGAGUUAGCAAGUUUGACAUUAAUGUCUGGUGUAAUAAGUUUCACUGGGUCCAUUGUGUUGAAGCGUGCUUCUAAUCGUCCGCAAGGACAAUUACUUUGACUCUGGCCUGAAAUCAGGUAGGACUACCCGCUGAACUUAAGCAUAUCAAUAAGCGGAGGA
rnacentral:misc_RNA from 1 species